GGAAGUAAAAGCCGUAACAAGGUCUCCGUAGGUGAACCUGCGGAGGGAUCAUUACAGAGUUCUCGCCCUCGCGGGUAGAUCUCCCACCCACUGUUAUCGUUACUGUGUUGCUUUGGCGGGCCGCCGGGCCCCGCUCGGCCGCCGGCUCCGGCUGGCGCGCGCCCGCCAGAGGCCCAGCAAACUCUGAAUGUUAGUGUCGUCUGAGUACUAUAUAAUAGUUAAAACUUUCAACAACGGAUCUCUUGGUUCUG
rnacentral:misc_RNA from 1 species